rnacentral:rRNA from 1 species
AACGGCAGCUUAGCUUGCUAAGCUGGACGUCGACCGGCGCACGGGUGAGUAACGCGUAUCCAACCUGCCCCACGGUGAGGGAUAACCCGCGGAAACGCGGCCUAAUACCUCAUGGUCUCCGAGUUUGCCAUCAACCUUGGAGUAAAGAUUCAUUGCCGUGGGAUGGGGAUGCGUCUGAUUAGCUUGUUGGCGGGGCAACGGCCCACCAAGGCAACGAUCAGUAGGGGUUCUGAGAGGAAAGCCCCCCACAUUGGAACUGAGACACGGUCCAAACUCCUACGGGAGGCAGCAGUGAGGAAUAUUGGUCAAUGGGCGAGAGCCUGAACCAGCCAAGUAGCGUGCAGGAAGACGGCCCUAUGGGUUGUAAACUGCUUUUAUGCGGGGAUAAAGCGGGCGACGUGUCGCCCUUUGCAGGUACCGCAUGAAUAAGGACCGGCUAAUUCCGUGCCAGCAGCCGCGGUAAUACGGAAGGUCCGGGCGUUAUCCGGAUUUAUUGGGUUUAAAGGGAGCGCAGGCCGGGUAUUAAGCGUGUUGUGAAAUGUAGGCGCCCAACGUCUGCACCGCAGCGCGAACUGGUGCCCUUGAGUACGCACGACGUUGGCGGAAUUCGCCGUGUAGCGGUGAAAUGCUUAGAUAUGGCGAAGAACUCCGAUUGCGAAGGCAGCUGACGGGAGCGCUACUGACGCUCAUGCUCGAAAGCGCGGGUAUCGAACAGGAUUAGAUACCCUGGUAGUCCGCGCGGUAAACGAUGGAUGCCCGCUAUUUGCGCAUUAGCGCAAGUGGCCAAGUGAAAACGUUAAGCAUCCCACCUGGGGAGUACGCCGGCAACGGUGCAACUC